rnacentral:rRNA from 1 species
UGGGGAAUUUUGGACAAUGGGCGCAAGCCUGAUCCAGCCAUUCCGCGUGAGUGAAGAAGGCCUUCGGGUUGUAAAGCUCUUUCGGCCGGGAAGAAAUCGGGCAGGUGAAUAAUCUGCCUGGAUGACGGUACCGGAAGAAGAAGCACCGGCUAACUACGUGCCAGCAGCCGCGGUAAUACGUAGGGUGCGAGCGUUAAUCGGAAUUACUGGGCGUAAAGCGUGCGCAGGCGGCUUUGUAAGACAGGUGUGAAAUCCCCGGGCUUAACCUGGGAAUGGCGCUUGUGACUGCAAGGCUUGAGUUCGGCAGAGGGGGGUGGAAUUCCACGUGUAGCAGUGAAAUGCGUAGAGAUGUGGAGGAACACCGAUGGCGAAGGCAGCCCCCUGGGUCGCGACUGACGCUCAUGCACGAAAGCGUGGGGAGCAAACAGG